ACGGAAGGCAGCAGUGAGGAAUGUUGGUCAAUGGGCGAGAGCCUGAACCAGCCAAGUCGCGUGAAGGAUGAAGGUUCUAUGGAUUGUAAACUUCUUUUGUCUGAGGGUAAAGUGGUCUACGUGUAGGCUAUUGCAAGUAUCAGACGAAUAAGCAUCGGCUAACUCCGUGCCAGCAGCCGCGGUAAUACGGAGGAUGCGAGCGUUAUCCGGAUUUAUUGGGUUUAAAGGGUGCGUAGGCGGGCUAUUAAGUCAGCGGUCAAAUCGUGUUGCUCAACAAUACUGAGCCGUUGAAACUGGUGGUCUUGAGUGUAAAUGAGGUAGGCGGAAUGUGACGUGUAGCGGUGAAAUGCAUAGAUAUGUCACAGAACCCCGAUUGCGAAGGCAGCUUACCAAGAUACAACUGACGCUGAGGCACGAAAGCGUGGGUAUCAAACAGGAUUAGAUACCCUGGUA
rnacentral:rRNA from 1 species